GAUGAACGCUAGCUACAGGCUUAACACAUGCAAGUCGAGGGGCAGCAUGAAGUUUGCUUGCAAACUUUGAUGGCGACCGGCGCACGGGUGAGUAACGCGUAUCCAACCUGCCCCGUACUCGGGUAUAGCCCAGCGAAAGCUGGAUUAAUCCCCGAUGUCACCUUUAUGGUUCAUGCCAUAUUGGUUAAAGUUAUUCGGUACGGGAUGGGGAUGCGUCUGAUUAGGUAGUAGGCGGGGUAACGGCCCACCUAGCCGACGAUCAGUAGGGGUUCUGAGAGGAAGGUCCCCCACACUGGAACUGAGACGCGGUCCAGACUCCUACGGGAGGCAGCAGUGAGGAAUAUUGGUCAAUGGGCGAGAGCCUGAACCAGCCAAGUAGCGUGCAGGAUGACGGCCCUACGGGUUGUAAACUGCUUUUAUGCGGGAAUAAAGAUAUCUACGUGUAGAUAGUUGCAUGUACCGCAUGAAUAAGGACCAGCUAAUUCCGUGCCAGCAGCCGCAGUAACAC
rnacentral:rRNA from 1 species